rnacentral:rRNA from 1 species
AAACAUCUAAGUACCCCGAGGAAAAGAAAUCAACCGAGAUUCCCCCAGUAGCGGCGAGCGAACGGGGAGCAGCCCAGAGCCUGAAUCAGUGUGUGUGUUAGUGGAAGCGUCUGGAAAGGCGUGCGAUACAGGGUGACAGCCCCGUACACAAAAAUGCACAUAUUGUGAGCUCGAUGAGUAGGGCGGGACACGUGGUAUCCUGUCUGAAUAUGGGGGGACCAUCCUCCAAGGCUAAAUACUCCUGACUGACCGAUAGUGAACCAGUACCGUGAGGGAAAGGCGAAAAGAACCCCGGCGAGGGGAGUGAAAAAGAACCUGAAACCGUGUACGUACAAGCAGUGGGAGCACAGAGCAAUCUGUGUGACUGCGUACCUUUUGUAUAAUGGGUCAGCGACUUAUAUUCUGUAGCAAGGUUAACCGAAUAGGGGAGCCGAAGGGAAACCGAGUCUUAACUGGGCGUUAAGUUGCAGGGUAUAGACCCGAAACCCGGUGAUCUAGCCAUGGGCAGGUUGAAGGUUGGGUAACACUAACUGGAGGACCGAACCGACUAAUGUUGAAAAAUUAGCGGAUGACUUGUGGCUGGGGGUGAAAGGCCAAUCAAACCGGGAGAUAGCUGGUUCUCCCCGAAAGCUAUUUAGGUAGCGCCUCGUGAAUUCAUCUCCGGGGGUAGAGCACUGUUUCGGCAAGGGGGUCAUCCCGACUUACCAACCCGAUGCAAACUGCGAAUACCGGAGAAUGUUAUCACGGGAGACACACGGCGGGUGCUAACGUCCGUCGUGAAGAGGGAAACAACCCAGACCGCCAGCUAAGGUCCCAAAGUCAUGGUUAAGUGGGAAACGAUGUGGGAAGGCCCAGACAGCCAGGAUGUUGGCUUAGAAGCAGCCAUCAUUUAAAGAAAGCGUAAUAGCUCACUGGUCGAGUCGGCCUGCGCGGAAGAUGUAACGGGGCUAAACCAUGCACCGAAGCUGCGGCAGCGACGCUUAUGCGUUGUUGGGUAGGGGAGCGUUCUGUAAGCCUGCGAAGGUGUGCUGUGAGGCAUGCUGGAGGUAUCAGAAGUGCGAAUGCUGACAUAAGUAACGAUAAAGCGGGUGAAAAGCCCGCUCGCCGGAAGACCAAGGGUUCCUGUCCAACGUUAAUCGGGGCAGGGUGAGUCGACCCCUAAGGCGAGGCCGAAAGGCGUAGUCGAUGGGAAACAGGUUAAUAUUCCUGUACUUGGUGUUACUGCGAAGGGGGGACGGAGAAGGCUAUGUUGGCCGGGCGACGGUUGUCCCGGUUUAAGCGUGUAGGCUGGU